UACGUAGGGUGCAAGCGUUAAUCGGAAUUACUGGGCGUAAAGCGUGCGCAGGCGGUUAUGUAAGACAGGUGUGAAAAUCCCCGGGCUAACCUGGGGAACUGCAUUUGUGACUGCAUAGCUAGAGUACGGUAGAGGGGGAUGGAAUUCCGCGUGUAGCAGUGAAAUGCGUAGAUAUGCGGAGGAACACCGAUGGCGAAGGCAAUCCCCUGGACCUGUACUGACGCUCAUGCACGAAGCGUGGGGAG
rnacentral:rRNA from 1 species